CACUCCUCUUUGCCCACCCAUCUCACCUUCUCCCCGGUUGCUCAAAAAAAAAUCCCCUUUCCCCACACGCCGCCGCGGCUUGCUCUGCCCGCCCUCUCCGCCGCCGUCUCUCUGCCAGCCCCAGCCCCAGCCCCCGCCUUGCUCCCUCUCCGCGCUCUCCACCCCUGACGACCAGCGCGGCCGCUCGUGUCGACCGCGUUGUCGCUCCCCCCUCACCUAGCACUGCCGCCGCUCCGGUGGGGGAAGGUCCAGGCCGGCGUGGCGGCGCGUCACGGAGCCACCCCCAAACGCCCUGCAGCUUGCAGCUAGCCACCACCUGUGUCGGAGCGUUGGAUGCCUGAAAGAACAGGACAUGGCUGAUUUUACGGAGCGGCAUUGUUCCACUGAAUGUGUUAAGAUUUGCGAGGCACUGAACUGAAAGGCCUAGUCGGUCGUGGACCAGAACCUGUUCCUGCCGUGAUUGUCGAUCUCAUAGAGAAGAAGUGUGCGGAGAAAUGUUUGAAUCUGAUCAUUUCAUCCUCAUACUGAACACUUUUAAUUUCCGCCAUGAAUUUGCUAUUUCCUACCAGAAAGAUAAUUUCCUUUUCUUCUUGGCUUUUGCAGGCUCCGUAAUUUUGGGAAAAAUAAAUUUAGUGACCCAAGUGUGCUGCUUUCUAUUCUGACCAAGUAUGCUCACCA